UGGUAGAGCCCUGGCCUUCCAAGCCAGUUGCGAGGGUUCGAUUCCCUUCACCCGCU
rfam:Caldisalinibacter kiritimatiensis strain L21-TH-D2 NODE_379, whole genome shotgun sequence.